AGAGUUUGAUCCUGGCUCAGAUUGAACGCUGGCGGAAUGCUUUACACAUGCAAGUCGAACGGUAGAGGGGGCAACCCCUCGAGAGUGGCGAACGGGUGAGUAAUAUAUCGGAACGUGCCCAGUCGUGGGGGAUAACGUAGCGAAAGUUACGCUAAUACCGCAUACGAUCUACGGAUGAAAGCGGGGGAUCGCAAGACCUCGCGCGAUUGGAGCGGCCGAUAUCAGAUUAGGUAGUUGGUGGGGUAAAGGCUCACCAAGCCAACGAUCUGUAGCUGGUCUGAGAGGACGACCAGCCACACUGGAACUGAGACACGGUCCAGACUCCUACGGGAGGCAGCAGUGGGGAAUUUUGGACAAUGGACGCAAGUCUGAUCCAGCCAUUCCGCGUGCAGGAUGAAGGCCCUCGGGUUGUAAACUGCUUUUGUACGGAACGAAAAGGUCUCUCUUAAUACGGGGGGCUCAUGACGGUACCGUAAGAAUAAGCACCGGCUAACUACGUGCCAGCAGCCGCGGUAAUACGUAGGGUGCAAGCGUUAAUCGGAAUUACUGGGCGUAAAGCGUGCGCAGGCGGUUAUAUAAGACAGAUGUGAAAUCCCCGGGCUCAACCUGGGAACUGCAUUUGUGACUGUAUAGCUAGAGUACGGUAGAGGGGGAUGGAAUUCCGCGUGUAGCAGUGAAAUGCGUAGAUAUGCGGAGGAACACCGAUGGCGAAGGCAAUCCCCUGGACCUGUACUGACGCUCAUGCACGAGAGCGUGGGGAGCAAACAGGAUUAGAUACCCUGGUAGUCCACGCCCUAAAC
rnacentral:rRNA from 1 species